rnacentral:rRNA from 1 species
UACAGAGGGUGCGAGCGUUAAUCGGAAUUACUGGGCGUAAAGCGUACGUAGGCGGCCAAGUAAGUCGGAUGUGAAAGCCCUGGGCUUAACCUGGGAACUGCAUUCGAUACUGCCUGGCUAGAGUAUGGGAGAGGGAAGCGGAAUUUCCGGUGUAGCGGUGAAAUGCGUAGAUAUCGGAAGGAACACCAAUGGCGAAGGCAGCUUCCUGGCCCAAUACUGACGCUGAGGUGCGAAAGCGUGGGGAGCAAACAGG